rnacentral:rRNA from 1 species
AUUGAACGCUGGCGGCAGGCCUAACACAUGCAAGUCGAACGGUAACAGGAAGAAGCUUGCUUCUUUGCUGACGAGUGGCGGACGGGUGAGUAAUGUCUGGGAAACUGCCUGAUGGAGGGGGAUAACUACUGGAAACGGUAGCUAAUACCGCAUAACGUCGCAAGACCAAAGAGGGGGACCUUCGGGCCUCUUGCCAUCGGCUGUGCCCAGAUGGGAUUAGCUAGUAGGUGGGGUAACGGCUCACCUAGGCGACGAUCCCUAGCUGGUCUGAGAGGAUGACCAGCCACACUGGAACUGAGACACGGUCCAGACUCCUACGGGAGGCAGCAGUGGGGAAUAUUGCACAAUGGGCGCAAGCCUGAUGCAGCCAUGCCGCGUGUAUGAAGAAGGCCUUCGGGUUGUAAAGUACUUUCAGCGGGGAGGAAGGGAGUAAAGUUAAUACCUUUACUCAUUGACGUUACCCGCAGAAGAAGCACCGGCUAACUCCGUG